rnacentral:rRNA from 1 species
GACGAACGUUGGCGGCGUGCUUAACACAUGCAAGUCGAACGGAAAGGCCCUGCUUUUGUGGGGUGCUCGAGUGGCGAACGGGUGAGUAACACGUGAGUAACCUGCCCUUGACUUUGGGAUAACUUCAGGAAACUGGGGCUAAUACCGGAUAGGAGCUCCUGCUGCAUGGUGGGGGUUGGAAAGUUUCGGCGGUUGGGGAUGGACUCGCGGCUUAUCAGCUUGUUGGUGGGGUAGUGGCUUACCAAGGCUUUGACGGGUAGCCGGCCUGAGAGGGUGACCGGCCACAUUGGGACUGAGAUACGGCCCAGACUCCUACGGGAGGCAGCAGUGGGGAAUAUUGCACAAUGGGCGGAAGCCUGAUGCAGCAACGCCGCGUGCGGGAUGACGGCCUUCGGGUUGUAAACCGCUUUCGCCUGUGACGAAGCGUGAGUGACGGUAAUGGGUAAAGAAGCACCGGCUAACUACGUGCCAGCAGCCGCGGUGAUACGUAGGGUGCGAGCGUUGUCCGGAUUUAUUGGGCGUAAAGGGCUCGUAGGUGGUUGAUCGCGUCGGAAGUGUAAUCUUGGGGCUUAACCCUGAGCGUGCUUUCGAUACGGGUUGACUUGAGGAAGGUAGGGGAGAAUGGAAUUCCUGGUGGAGCGGUGGAAUGCGCAGAUAUCAGGAGGAACACCAGUGGCGAAGGCGGUUCUCUGGGCCUUUCCUGACGCUGAGGAGCGAAAGCGUGGGGAGCGAACAGGCUUAGAUACCCUGGUAGUCCACGCUGUAAACGGUGGGUACUAGGUGUGGGGUCCGUUCCACGGGUUCCGUGCCGUAGCUAACGCUUUAAGUACCCCGCCUGGGGAGUACGGCCGCGAGGCUAAAACUCAAAGGAAUUGACGGGGCCCCGCACAAGCGGCGGAGCAUGCGGAUUAAUUCGAUGCAACGCGUAGAACCUUACCUGGGUUUGACAUGGAUCGGGAGUGCUCAGAGAUGGGUGUGCCUCUUUUGGGGUCGGUUCACAGGUGGUGCAUGGCUGUCGUCAGCUCGUGUCGUGAGAUGUUGGGUUAAGUCCCGCAACGAGCGCAACCCUUGUUCACUGUUGCCAGCACGUUAUGGUGGGGACUCAGUGGAGACCGCCGGGGUCAACUCGGAGGAAGGUGGGGAUGACGUCAAGUCAUCAUGCCCCUUAUGUCCAGGGCUUCUCGCAUGCUACAAUGGCUGGUACAGAGAGUGGCGAGCCUGUGAGGGUGAGCGAAUCUCGGAAAGCCGGUCUCAGUUCGGAUUGGGGUCUGCAACUCGACCUCAUGAAGUCGGAGUCGCUAGUAAUCGCAGAUCAGCAACGCUGCGGUGAAUACGUUCCCGGG